rnacentral:rRNA from 1 species
GACAGAGGAUGCAAGCGUUAUCCGGAAUGAUUGGGCGUAAAGCGUCUGUAGGUGGCUUUUUAAGUCCGCCGUCAAAUCCCAGGGCUCAACCCUGGACAGGCGGUGGAAACUACCAAGCUGGAGUACGGUAGGGGCAGAGGGAAUUUCCGGGUGGAGCGGUGAAAUGCGUAGAGAUCCGGAGGAACACCGACGGCGUAGGCAGCGCCCUGGACGACACCUGACGCUGAGGCACGAAAGCUGGGGGAGCGAACAGG